CAGAAUUCACUGACCACAUUUGUGUGACUAUGGAUGCUGAGCUAAUUAUGUUUCUUCAUGACUUAGUGUCAGCUUACCUUAAAGAAAAAGAAAAAGCUAUUUUCCCAUCUCGACUGUUAUCUACUCGACCAGGACAAAAAAGUCCAAUCAUCAUUCAUGAUGAUAAUUCCUCUGAGAAGGACAGAGAAGAAAGCAUCUCAUAUACUACUGUAGACUGGAGAGAUUUUAUGUGCAAUACUUGGCAUCUAGAGCCUACACUACGGCUAAUUUCCUGGACUGGAAGAAAAAUUGAUCCAGUAGGUGUUGAUUAUAUUCUUCAAAAAUUGGGCUUUCAUCAUGCCAGAACCACUAUUCCUAAAUGGCUUCAAAGAGGAGUCAUGGACCCAUUGGAUAAGGUUCUCUCAGUCCUCAUCAAAAAGCUUGGUACCUCACUGCAAGAUGAAAAAGAAAGAAAAGGAAAGGAA